rnacentral:rRNA from 1 species
AUUGAACGCUGGCGGCAGGCCUAACACAUGCGAGUCGAGCGGAUGAAGGGAGCUUGCUCCUGGAUUCAGCGGCGGACGGGUGAGUAAUGCCUAGGAAUCUGCCUGGUAGUGGGGGAUAACGUCCGGAAACGGGCGCUAAUACCGCAUACGUCCUGAGGGAGAAAGUGGGGGAUCUUCGGACCUCACGCUAUCAGAUGAGCCUAGGUCGGAUUAGCUAGUUGGUGGGGUAAAGGCCUACCAAGGCGACGAUCCGUAACUGGUCUGAGAGGAUGAUCAGUCACACUGGAACUGAGACAAGGUCCAGACUCCUACGGGAGGCAGCAGUGGGGAAUAUUGGACAAUGGGCGAAAGCCUGAUCCAGCCAUGCCGCGUGUGUGAAGAAGGUCUUCGGAUUGUAAAGCACUUUAAGUUGGGAGGAAGGGCAGUAAGUUAAUACCUUGCUGUUUUGACGUUACCAACAGAAUAAGCACCGGCUAACUUCGUG